ensembl:lncRNA
CUUGCGCACCCACUCACUCCUCGCGCUUUCUCCCUCGCGCUGUCCGAGCUCCAGCACACGGUGUUGUCACGGGAUAAUUAACUACCUUCUGGUACGCUGCAGAACAGAAACCGCGAUUUAACGCCUUGUGUUUCAAGAAUCCCAAGUCAGUCGGUGAAGACCAGAGGUUGCACACCACAAGCCCAGCGCUGCCAUGCUGAAGGACUGACGGGUCCAACACAGUCUCAUUACUGCCCUGAGAGUGGACCUUGGAGGAAAGGACCACCAAAGGACCCCCAAGGGGCCACAACUGGCUCCUACGGCCCAGAGUUUUAGACCGCAACACCCAUUCUUGUCCAUCCAUACACGGGGAGAUCCAAACAGUGGGUCUGUUGACGAUUACUCGUCCGUAUUCUCUUUUCAGUUCGCCCUCGCCCGGUGGUCAUCUCUCUUUCCACUUGGAUCUCUCCGUUCCUUCAGUUGUGUGGAGAGAGGACACGAAAAGGAGGAGAGAAGAGAUGGAGGACAGAAUGGAGGAGAGAAGAGUGUCAGCAAGAGAGGAGAGAGUUGGGAGCAAGGUAGAGAGAGGGGC